rfam:Olsenella sp. oral taxon 809 str. F0356 genomic scaffold supercont1.1, whole genome shotgun sequence.
GGGAGCAGAUGGGCGACUGGUGCGCCCUCUGGUCUUCAAAACCAGUUCGGGCAGGCAACUGCUCGGGUGGGUUCGAUUCCCACCUGCUCCC